CAGCCGCCGCGGUAAUACGAAGGGUGCAAGCGUUAAUCGGAAUUACUAGGCGUAAAGCGUGCGUAGGCGGUUUGUUAAGUCUGUUGUGAAAUCCCCGGGCUCAACCUGGGAAUGGCAAUGGAUACUGGCAAGCUAGAGUGUGUCAGAGGAUGGUGGAAUUCCCGGUGUAGCGGUGAAAUGCGUAGAGAUCGGGAGGAACAUCAGUGGCGAAGGCGGCCAUCUGGGACAACACUGACGCUGAGGCACGAAAGCGUGGGGAGCAAACAGGAUUAGAUACCCCCGUAGUCCCUGUCUCUUAUAC
rnacentral:rRNA from 1 species